AAUACCCGCUGAACUUUAAGCAUAUCAUUUAGCGGAGGA
rnacentral:rRNA from 1 species